rnacentral:misc_RNA from 1 species
CUGGUAGUUCAGAUAAUAGGCGUGCUCCCAGACAUCGUUGCCCAUCAGCACGCGCUUGCCGUCCAUGAUCGGAGAAUCCUGGUUAGGGCGCGUCUCGAUGGCAAGCUUGCCGUCCUUCGCGACCGUGACAAACACCCAGCCGGAGCCGAACUGGCGUCCNCGGCGGCGUUGAAAUCGGUCUGGAAUUUCUCCAUGCCGCCAAGAUCCUUGUCGAUCGCGGCAAGCCCUUC